rnacentral:rRNA from 1 species
GAUCCUGGCUCAGGAUGAACGCUAGCUACAGGCUUAACACAUGCAAGUCGAGGGGAAACGAUAUUGGAAGCUUGCUUCCGAUAGGCGUCGACCGGCGCACGGGUGAGUAACGCGUAUGCAACUUGCCUAUCAGAGGGGGAUAACCCGGCGAAAGUCGGACUAAUACCGCAUGAAGCAGGGAUCCCGCAUGGGAAUAUUUGCUAAAGAUUCAUCGCUGAUAGAUAGGCAUGCG